UCCCCCUUAGCUCAGUGGUAGAGCGCUUCACUAGUAUCCUGCGUGCGAUUCAGUGUUCUGUCCAUGAAGAGGUCAGUCGUUCAAGUCGGCUAGGGGGAA